UACGUAGGGUGCAAGCGUUGUCCGGAUUUACUGGGCGUAAAGAGCGCGCAGGCGGUCGUUUAAGUCGAAUGUGAAAGCCCCCCGGCUCAACUGGGGAGGGUCAUUCGAUACUGAUCGACUUGAAGGCAGGAGAGGGAAGUGGAAUUCCUGGUGUAGCGGUGAAAUGCGCAGAUAUCAGGAGGAACACCAAUGGCGAAGGCAGCUCGCUGGAACGGUACUGACGCUGAGGCGCGAAAGCGUGGGGAGCAAACAGG
rnacentral:rRNA from 1 species